ensembl:snoRNA
UGGUGAAGUCAAUGAUGGUGUUACACAACAUGUCUGAACCUGUCUGAAGCAUCUCAGUGAUGCACUCUGUGUUCUGAGACUUCUCUGUCA